AAAGCCAACGGCUAACUACGUGCCAGCAGCGCGGUAAUACGUAGGUGGCAAGCUUAUCCGGAUUUAUUGGGCGUAAAGCAGCGCAGGCGGUUUUUAAGUCUGAUGUGAAAGCCCUCGCUUAACCGAGGAAGUGCAUCGGAAACUGGAAACUUGAGUGCAGAAGAGGACAGUGGAACUCCAUGUGUAGCGGUGAAUGCGUAGAUAUAUGGAAGAACACCAGUGGCGAAGGCGGCUGUCUGGUCUGUAACUGACGCUGAGGCUCGAAAGCAUGGGUAGCGAACAGGAUUAGAUACCCUGGUAGUCCAUGCCGUAAACGAUGAAUGCUAGGUGUUGGGUUUCCGCCCUUCAGUGCCGCAGCUAAGCAUUAAGCAUUCCGCCUGGGGAGUACGACCGCAAGGUUGAAACUCAAAGGAAUUGACGGGGCCCGCACAAGCGGUGGAGCAUGUGGUUUAAUUCGAAGCAACGCGAAGAACCUUACCAGGUCUUGACAUCUUUUGAUCACCUGAAGAUCAGGUUUCCCCUUCGGGGGCAAAAUGACAGGUGUGCAUGGUUGUCGUCAGCUCGUGUCGUGAGAUGUUGGGUUAAGUCCCGCAACGAGCGCACCCUUAUGACUAGUUGCCAGCAUUUAGUUGGGCACUCUAGUAAGACUGCCGGUGACAAACCGGAGGAAGGUGGGGAUGACGUCAAUCAUCAUGCCCCUUAUGACCUGGGCUACACACGUGCUACAAUGGAUGGUACACGAGUUGCGAGACCGCGAGGUUGUUUACUUUUAUAGGGGGGACCAUCCGAAGGUUUCCUAGGGUUACCUUCAAUUGAGUACACCGGAAUCUUUGGGAAA
rnacentral:rRNA from 1 species